AAACCUGAGGCUCUGACCCCUUGUAGCCGCUGGCCCUCCCUUGACCCCUUUGGAUGAGUGAGGGGGCUCAGCUGGACCCUAUGACCUUGCUUCACAUUGGGUAAGCCUUCUGACCUGAGGCCUUCCUGUGGUUUCAGCUGAGAGAGGCUAGUGACAUAGAGAGCCGAGGCAAAUCCUGGAUCUGUGCCUGCCUCAAGAGCUCCCUCCUUUGUGGGAGUUGCAUUUGGGGGAGCAGCAUAGUUCUCAGGGGCUCCACCUAGGCAGGCGCUAGACUGAUGGAGGAGGCAGUUGAAGGAGGAGGUAGUUUUCUUGUGGUCCCUUUGUCUAUUUAGCCAAUGAUACGAUAGGAGAGGGUCAGGUGGGGAGCUGAGACAUUCCGAAGUGAAAAGUCAGGAUUGGCUUUUUCUUCUAGAGCAUGGAGUUUUCCAAGGAUCUGUCACUAGUGUGCCGUCUGAACAGACAUCGCUGCUGACACCUAAAACCUCUUCUAAGAAACACUCCAAUUAUUCAGAUAAUUGCUUGUGCCUAAGACUGUAUAACCUAAGAGUCGGGUGCAGGCUUGAUAAAGAAUUGGAAGCCCUCUGCAAAACUGCUACAGGUGUUCUGUGUUCCGACGCCCUCCAUCACCUUGGACAGGGGUUCUUCUUCCGGCCCAGUCUCUCCCAUUUCCUCUUUUCUCCCUCCAUCUCCUCCCAUUUGCUUGGCCAGAGCAGAGGCUCGGCUGGUCUAGUUCAGGUAGGAUGGCCAGCAUCCAGUCACUGCCAUAUUCAACAAGGACUUGAGAGCUUCUAGAGAGAGAAAUGCAAGUCAAACCAGCCUGGGCUUUUAAAAGGGGGCUUUGUGUGACCCUGGACACCUGCAACUGGGAGCCAACACUGCCACGUGCUCUCUCUUUUCUCACGCCUCAACUUCCUCUGAAUACUGAUCUAAAUCUCUUUGCUAAGCUUCCUCUCUAUGGCAGGUAAUGUGCACGAUGGCAGCUUUUGCUUAUUGUACCUCAUGACUUCACUGCCAGAAAGGGACAGAGAGGGGCCUUCACGGCCUUCACUGGGGCCAGGUGACCAUCAUUGGCUCAAACACUGCGGCUUGGGAAGAGCUGAACUGAUGCCUGCUCACAUCUGGACUCUGAUUUGUGCUAGGGAGGGGGUACUUUCCAGAAGAAGGGGCCCCUGUCCUGGAAGACAUACAAUGGAGCCCACCACCGUGGUGCUGAGAGCUAUUCCCAAGUCCUAGGGCGCAGUGGGCCCUCCUCCUUCGCCUCUGCUUCCCCUGCCUGGCAGUGAGGGGCAUGGCCUGGGGGAGGGGUGACAUCUGUCCACAGAGCCCAUUGUUUUUUGGCUUGAAAAUCCAUAGGAAAAUGGGGGUUUUUCUCAGCUCCCUUUUUUUGGAGUGGGGGCAGCAGCCGUGUGAUUUUCUGAGUGGAAUGCCUUGGAGGAUCUAAGCGGUGAGUGAAGGAAGAACAAAAGAACCAUUCUCAGAAGCAUGGCAAAAAUGAAACCAAAUAAAAACCCCAUAAAAAUCCCUACCGGGGCAGAGGAAAUACCAAGCCAGUGCUUUUGGAGUGCAGAUUCUGUAAUAAAGGAAAGAUUCAUGGAUACGCUGUGCAACUUGCUUAUGUUUGGACUGGAGGGAGAAUGUGCAGGAACAUGAUAUAAAAGAGUCAUCCAAGAAAGGGAGGCAUCGCUGUGUGCAUUUGUGUUGUGUGUUGUUGCAAUUCAGGAGUGGACUAAGGACUGGGGUUCAUGGGGAGCCUGAAAGAGACACUGGACUGGUUCAAAGUUUGUGCACAGCUGCGGAGAUCAGAUGACUGUCAGCUGGGCCUGCCCCCUGCUGCCUCUGCUUGAUUGCAGGAGGAACUCUGACCUUGAUUUAGUCACCAAAACACCCAUCUGGAAAGCUCUUUGAAGAUUGAUUAAGUAAACACUCACAGCACAGACAAUCAUAAUUGAGUGACGUAGCUGAAUUAUCUGCAGUGCGUGGAAGAAUGCACUGAUGAGAAAGCUCAGGGGCAUGUUCCCUCUCUGUUCCUCUAAUUUGGCUUCCUUACUUAGGGGUACAGUUUCGGGCACCGGGAGUGUUUUGAGGGGAUGGCGUGGAGGAUGUGGAGACUUUCACUCUCAUUUGGCAGGGUGACACUAUCCCAGGCAUAGAACACCACCCGUCACCGCACUGCAGCUGGUGUGGCCUGUGGCAGGUAGCGCUGUCCGCACAGCUGACCUGAGAUGCUGCCUGUAGGGGGUUUCAGUUCUGCUUUGUGACUGUGGGCUGCUGUGAGCCCACUUUGGGAAAGGGCUCACAGAUGGGGAAGGCCUGGAUUUCAUCUGGGAGUGCCUCACCUCUCUGCACGGUGGUUCUGCUCUAGGAAAGAGCUGGUGGGCCUCUGUGGGCAUGAAGCAGUGGCCACGUUAGUUCCCUAAUGAUCUCUGCAGCUCCGUGGGAGAUAGAGAUGGGAAUAGGCUGUCAGCUCUGGACUCGGCUUCUGGACUUGGUAUGCCUGGAGUUUGUUGAGUCCUCUGGAUUCGGGGAGCAGUUUUGAUGUUCAUUCAAUUCAUUCAUGAUUGAUCCAUCCACCUAUUCACUCACUCACCAGGGCUAUCAUUUCAUCAUUCAAUCACGUUGAGAUAAUGUCUCUCCCACUUUUUCUCUCUCCUGCCUGGCACAGUGCCAAGCUUCUGCCAGGGCUCUGCACAUUUGUUUACAUCUCUUCCUGCUCUGCUUUUGUUGUGGUUGAAUAUCUAACCCCCAGGACCUCAGAAUGUGACCUUAUUUGGUGAUAAGGUCUUUAUUUAUUUAUUUACUUAAUUUUUGAUACAGAGCCUCGCUCUGUUAUCCAGGCUGGAGUGCAGU
rnacentral:lncRNA from 1 species